ACUACUCCCUCCGUCACAAAAAGGAUGUCUCAAGUUUGUUUGAAUUUGGACGAAUCUAUAUAUUAAAUAGUGUCUAGAUACAUCCAAGUUUAGACAAAUUUGAUACAUCCUUUUCGGGACGGAGGGAGUACAUG
rnacentral:pre_miRNA from 1 species